rnacentral:misc_RNA from 1 species
GUCCUUCUUAAUUACUCUAUAGAAGAGAAAGUAAAUCACGAAGGGCAAGCCAAAUGGAAUCAAAGAUCCCAAUGAUCUUAGCAAUGACGGGCCCUUCAAGCAACAAGAAGAGCGAAGUAGCCCGUAAACUAGCCGCUUCCCUUCAAUGUUAUCUCAUUGAUGAAGAUGACAUCAUCCCAAGCAUUCAAAAUUCCAUUCCAAGCUCUUACAUCAAUAAUGACUUGGGUUUCAAAAUUGCCUCUCAAAUCUCUUCAACCCAGCUUGAUUUGAAGCUCACAUGUAUCAUCAAUACUCCCCUCUCUAAAAGUACCCAGUUCCACCAUUUGAUGCAACUUGCAAGUUCUAAAAUGGCAUCUCUUAUCAUCAUUGAAUGUGUAACUCCAAACGCUCUGGCCCCUGAAUGGUACAGUGUCAUUGGGAAGGUGCCAAAACUUAGCAUUGACAUCACAGAGACGUUUACGAUGGAGGAUUUUGUCCCUAAGAUGCUAAAGGUUGCAGAAGCUGAUAAACUGUCGAAAGCAUCAUCAUCCUCUGCAAAACAAUUAUCAGGUGAUAAUACUAUUGUUGGGAGAAAUUUCAUUGAUAGGCAUGCGCAUGAGUUUUCCUUCAUUGCAAAGCCAGAGAUUGCUGGUUUUGAUAAGCUGCCUUGCAGUAAUUGCAAGAAAUUCAUUUCCGGUGGAACCUAUAAAUGCUUAGAAUGUGAUGAGUUCAUCCUUCACAAAGCUUGUGCUGAGUUACCGGACUUGUUACAUGAUUUGUGGAAUAAAUGUCCUCCAUUCUUGAAAAAAAUAAACCCAACCGAGUAUUCCUUUCCAGAGGAGCACAAGUGCAGCCUUUGUGAAAAAUUCUUCAGAUCUUGUCCUGACUGCCUAUUUCAAACCCACAUCGAUUGUGGACUGCUGCCAACCAUUCUUCAAAAUUCAAGGAGACAUCAGCACACUUUGAAUUUUGUUAUCAUGCCAUUCUGGUUCGAUUUUCAAUAUAAAUGCUCCAGAUGUGAUGAGGACGGUAACUCUAUUAGCUACAAAUGCUAUAAAUGCAACUUUGACCUUCAUGUUAAGUGUGCUCUUAAGGACAACUACAUCCCUGAAGCCUUGUUGAAAGCAGUGUUGGAUAUGUAAAUUAUUUAUGCAAAAAUAUUAUUAGUUAUUAGUUUAAAAAAAAUUAUUCAUUAAUUUGUGAUCUCAUAAUCAA